GUAACAUUCGCUCCAUAGCAUCUUAAUCCAGUUUAAUACAACAAAUCAAAAAAAAAAAAAAAGAUUCAAUUAAGCGACUCACAAAACCGAAUCAACCACACUAGUUUGCUGGUAUAGUCACCGUUACACUAGACACAGCAUCUUAAUUUUAUUCCAGGAGCAGAAGUUAAGCAAAGAUUUUAUUUUAUGUUAUGAACAUGCUUAAGUAAUGACAAUCGAU